GCGCCGGUCCGCCGCAAGGCGAGCACUGGAGGCGGCGCCCCUUUCCUCUGCGGUCUCCCUUCUGGGGGGGUUGCAGAAUAUACUUUGAGUAAAUGAGAGUGUUCAAAGCAGGCGCACGCUUGAAUCUGUUAGCAUGGAAUAAUAGAAUAGGACGCAUGGUUCUAUUUUGUUGGUUUCUAGGACCAUCGUAAUGAUUAAUAGGACGGUCGGGCAUCAGUAUUCAGUUGUCAGAGGUGAAAUUCUUGGAUUUACUGAAGACUAACUACUGCGAAAGCAUUUGCCAAGGACGUUUUCAUUAAUCAAGAACGAAAGUUAGGGAUCGAAGAUGAUCAGAUACCGUCGUAGUCUUAACAUAAACUAUGCGACUAGGGAUCGGCGGCGUUCAUCUAGUGACGCGCUCGCACCUUACGAGAAAUCAAAGUUUUGGUUCUGGGGAGUAUGGUCGCAAGGCUGAAACUUAAAGGAAUUGACGGAAGGCACACCAGGAGUGGAGCUGCGCUUAAUUUGACUCAACACGGGAAACUCACAGGUCCAGACACAAUAAGGAUUGACAGAUUGAGAGCUCUUUCUUGAUUUUGUGGUGUGUGCAUGCCGUUCUUAGUUGGUGGAGUGAUUUGUCUGCUUAAUUGCGAUAACGAACGAGACCUUAACCUCUAAAUAGUGCUGCAGCGCUUCUCUGUGCUGGCGCUGCACUUCUUAGGGGACUAUUGACUUGAAGUCGAUGGAAGUUUGAGGCAAUAACAGGUCUGUGAUGCCUUAGACGUUCUGGCCGCACGCGCGCUACACUGACGGAGCCAGCGAGUUGACCUUGGCGAGAGGCUGGAAAUCUUGGAAACUCCGUCGUGCUGGGAUAGAGCAUUGCAAUUUUUGCUCUUCAACGAGGAAUUCCUAGUAAGCGCAAGUCACCAACUUGCGUUGAUUACGUCCUGCCUUUGUACACACCGCCGUCGCUACUACGAUUGAAUGCUUAGUGAGCCUCCGGAUCUGGCUAGCUCGAGGCAACCUCGUCGCGGCCGGAGAAGCUGGUCAAACUUGUCAUUUAGAGGAAGUAAAAGUCGUAACAAGGUUUCCGUAGGUGAACUGCGGAAG
rnacentral:rRNA from 1 species